AGAGGCGGUUACUGCCUUUUCAUAAUUCUCAGCUGGCGAAAGAACUUCUAAGGAUUCGGGGCCUACCUUACGAAUAUUUAAGUCAUGAGCUGUGGCCACAGUGUACAACUGCUGACCAGAGAACUCACUUAUUUAAAAAUUAAGAGAACGUGUUUUGUUGUUUUGGUAACCACGGAAGGGGCCGGAGAAAGCGAAGGGAAGGCUGCAAACUGCGGAAACCCUGCGUCGCCUUCCCGGUGGCCGCCCCCUUAGGACCCGAAGCCACCGGGCAUCAAGGACAAAUGCGAGAGUCGAGGACAAAUGCGGACGCGGCUCCUCAGCGCGGGGGAGGGUUCCUGGCCGGUGGGGUUCCCUCUCUCCCCUCCCGUCCCCACCCGGUCGCGGCGCUGCCGCGAGCGACAAUACCUGAGGACAGCUUCUGAUCCGCGGCGCCCAUCUCAGCCCAGCUUCCGGCCUGCACGUAGGCACAUGAUGCCUGGAUCUGCAGCUGCUAUCUUGCAACCAUGAGGAAACACGAUUAAGGAUGAAAAACCAACAGCUAAAAAUGGAAGAAUAGAAAAAUAGAAAACCUGAGAUACUGAAGUUAGCAUUGAGCAGCUGAACCAAUAUCUGCAAUCACCUACCUCUGGACUCUUGUCAUAGGAGGAAAAAUAAAGCCCUAUUGAUUCAA